GGAGCGGUAUCGAAGUGGUCAUAACGGGCCUGACUCGAAAUCAGGUAGACGGCAACGUCUCGUGGGUUCGAAUCCCACCCGCUCCGCCA
rnacentral:tRNA from 1 species